GACGAACGCUGGCGGCGUGCCUAACACAUGCAAGUCGAGCGGGUACCCGCAAGGGUACCAGCGGCGCACGGGUGAGUAACACGUGGGUAAUCUACCCCUCGGAGGGGGAUAACCGGGGGAAACUCCGGCUAAUACCCCAUACGAUCCAACAACACAAGUUGUUGGAUGAAAGGAGCGUUUGCUCCGCCGAGGGAUGAGCCCGCGGCCCAUCAGGUAGUUGGUGGGGUAAUGGCCCACCAAGCCUACGACGGGUAGCCGGCCUGAGAGGGUGGUCGGCCACAAGGGCACUGAGACACGGGCCCUACUCCUACGGGAGGCAGCAGUGGGGAAUCUUGGACAAUGGGCGAAAGCCUGAUCCAGCGACGCCGCGUGGGGGAUGAAGCCCUUCGGGGUGUAAACCCCUGUUGCGAGGGAGGAAUAAGGCCUGGAGGAAAUGCCAGGCCGAUGACUGUACCUCGCGAGGAAGCCCCGGCUAACUACGUGCCAGCAGCCGCGGUAAUACGUAGGGGGCGAGCGUUACCCGGAUUCACUGGGCGUAAAGCGGGUGUAGGCGGCUCGGUAAGUCGGGUGUGAAAUCCCACAGCUCAACUGUGGAAUUGCGCCCGAAACUGCUGAGCUUGGGGCCGGUAGAGGGAGACGGAACUGCCGGUGUAGGGGUGAAAUCCGUAGAUAUCGGCAGGAACGCCGGUGGGGAAGCCGGUCUCCUGGGCCGCGCCCGACGCUGAGACCCGAAAGCUAGGGGAGCAAACC
rnacentral:rRNA from 1 species